CGAUGACCUCAUCAUCUCGAUGAGGGUCUGGUUGAUAUCGAUAGACAGAAUCACUGAUGCCAACUGCGCGGCAGGCCAUUCUGAGACUGACCCGAAAUUGCUGACGAACAUACUCCACGAGUUCGCGUUUAACCGCUGGCUUU
rfam:Photobacterium halotolerans strain MELD1 scaffold13, whole genome shotgun sequence.